rnacentral:rRNA from 1 species
UACGUAGGGUGCGAGCGUUACUCGGAAUUACUGGGCGUAAAGCGUGCGCAGGCGGUGAUGUAAGACAGAUGUGAAAUCCCCGGGCUCAACCUGGGAACUGCAUUUGUGACUGCAUCGCUGGAGUGCGGCAGAGGGGGAUGGAAUUCCGCGUGUAGCAGUGAAAUGCGUAGAUAUGCGGAGGAACACCGAUGGCGAAGGCAAUCCCCUGGGCCUGCACUGACGCUCAUGCACGAAAGCGUGGGGAGCAAACAGG